UUUGUGUCCGAUACUAAUCGAUAAGGUGAAUUUACUGUAAAUUAUUUAUUGUUUAUUUAAAAAUUAGUUGUCCAGUGAAUAAAUUAAGAAUCUAUAUAAACUGAGUGCGCUGUGUGAUUAUUUUCUAUUAAGGAUCACUUAAUCUCUAUGGAAACAACAAACAGUGAAUGAGUAUGCUCCGAGCUCCAACAAGCCUUUAUCAGCCAUCGGCAGUGCUCCCGAAAUGAAGGUUUGCCGUAAGUGUAUUUGCCUUCGACUAUGGACAACAUCCCUGAUUGUCAAAUAACUUAAUUACAAGCAUAUGAAAUAACCGUACCGUUUAUUUGGAAUGAGUGUAAGGACUGGCUUCAUUAAAUAAAUAUUUGUUUCUAACCAUUUAUGUGAAGGAAGUUAAUAUAUUUUAUUGUAGCUGAACCAUCUAUCUGAUCGCUAAGUUAUUGCCAUAGCCCAAUAUAAAAAAAAAAUUGUUUGUUUAAAAAAUCUCAACUUUCAAAUAAUAGAUUUUUUAAAAGAAAUAAUAUUAAAUUAUACUAUUCCAGUCGUUGUAGAUAUAGAAGCAGUAAAUGUAUUGUUAA